rnacentral:lncRNA from 1 species
AUAUCAAGUCAUGUACAAACCGAUCAAUUUUAUCACAGAGCGAGCUGUGGAUGAUGGUGGUCUACAUAGCGUAAGCGGGGAUAGCCAUAAGUACUGACUUGGCCAACGUUAAGUGACAGCCAUGGAUAGACUAGUAGCCUUCCACCCAUACAACUUCUCCCCACAUUUUGAAGAAUGUAUUUGUAGGUAUCCUUGGUGACCCCUACCAUAGAGCAGAGAGGCGCCUAAAUAAGUGCUU